rnacentral:tRNA from 1 species
AGGAUUAUAUUUAAUAAUAAUACUUGACUUGCACUCAAGAGGUACCUUAAAAGGUUAAUCUUA